ensembl:antisense Recql5os1 RecQ-like 5, opposite strand 1
UGUUUUUCAAGACAGGGUUUCUCUGGUAGCCCUGGCUGUCCUGGAACUCACUCUGACAGCCAGAGAUACAUAAUUAGACUUCAUUUUAAAAAAAUCUUAGCCCACAACUGGAAAAGAAUAUUUAGUAAAAAUGAGACCUAAGAACUUAUGUCCAUAUGUCUCAAAAGUCUGUGGUCUAGAUUUAAUUUUUUUUAAAUAAUAUUUGGGCCCACAAAAAAAAAAAAUCACCUCUGGCUAGAGAGAGGGUUGACUAGUUAAGAGUAUGGCUGUUCUUCCAGAAGACCAGGGUUUGAUUCACAGCGCCUGCCACACCACCUCCAGUAGGGUCUGUGUGACAAGUUCCACAACCUCAGGCGAUUGACCUGGGGUGGGGGCGCUCCUGGAGCCGGUUGUGGAACUC